AGAUUGUCUGUUAAGAAAAAAAAAACAUAAACAACACACCAGUUCGUCGGUGAUUGCGACGGUUACUUUCCCCGGAAGUGCCGCAGGAUGCCAAGCUGUUGUUCCCAAUCGCUUCUGGAAAUCGGAAUUAAGUGGAUCAGUAUGAGCGACGAUUCAAAGUUGGCGACCUUCCCCACUUUGAAGGUGGAUACGGUUCCACAUUUUCAUUUAUAUUCAGCUUACAUCUAAACAGACAACACUGAAUAAACAAAUAGACGCCACUAUAAAAGGUUCGAAGCAACAUCUCUCCAUCCUCGGUUGCGCCCCACGCUCGUCAAAUCGAUUUACACUUGGUUCGCCCACCAAGCUCGCUGUGCUCCAUGCCUUUUUGUACCUGCCGGGUCGGAAGCGAAAACCAUGUUUACAGUGUUGCUGUCCGGCAUCUUUGCAACUGCCCUGCCCAUCGUACCCUUCCAGCUUUAGCACCGUUCUUUUGCACACCGCCAAAGAUAGUCCUAAGCACGUGUUAGUAAGUAAUCCCUCAUGUGCUGCUAAAAUCUUUCACGAUUUGACUGUGGAAUACUGCCGUGAAUCGCAUAUUUGUCCCAUAUGAAUAGGAAACCCAGCAAAGAUGGGACAGAUAUGCGAUUCACGGCAGAAUAUAAUUGUAAUUGUAAUUUCAAUGAAUAUAUAGAAAAUAUAGAUAAAUAAUAUAGAAAUUUCCAUCAGAGCCUUGCAAAUCUGCAGGAG